rnacentral:rRNA from 1 species
GCGCACGCAGGCGGUCUGUUAAGUCAGAUGUGAAAUCCCCGGGCUUAACCUGGGAACUGCAUUUGAAACUGGCAGGCUUGAGUCUUGUAGAGGGGGGUAGAAUUCCAGGUGUAGCGGUGAAAUGCGUAGAGAUCUGGAGGAAUACCGGUGGCGAAGGCGGCCCCCUGGACAAAGACUGACGCUCAGGUGCGAAAGCGUGGGGAGCAAACAGGAUUAGAUACCCUGGUAGUCCACGCCGUAAACGAUGUCGACUUGGAGGUUGUUCCCUUGAGGAGUGGCUUCCGGAGCUAACGCGUUAAGUCGACCGCCUGGGGAGUACGGCCGCAAGGUUAAAACUCAAAUGAAUUGACGGGGGCCCGCACAAGCGGUGGAGCAUGUGGUUUAAUUCGAUGCAACGCGAAGAACCUUACCUACUCUUGACAUCCAGAGAACUUUCCAGAGAUGGAUUGGUGCCUUCGGGAACUCUGAGACAGGUGCUGCAUGGCUGUCGUCAGCUCGUGUUGUGAAAUGUUGGGUUAAGUCCCGCAACGAGCGCAACCCUUAUCCUUUGUUGCCAGCGCGUGAGGCGGGAACUCAAAGGAGACUGCCGGUGAUAAACCGGAGGAAGGUGGGGAUGACGUCAAGUCAUCAUGGUCCUUACGAGUAGGGCUACACACGUGCUACAAUGGCGCAUACAAGGAGAAGCGACCUCGCGAGAGCAAGCCGACCUCACAAAGUGCGUCGUAGUCCGG